CCCUUAGAUGUUCUGGGCUGCACGCGUGCUACACUGAUAUUACCAAUAUGUCAUUCUUAUCCGAAAUGGAUUGGGUAAUCAAGUAAUGAAAUUUCAUGCUUGGAAUCGGUAAUUGCAAUUUUAUCGUGAACGAGGAAUUCCUAGUAAGCACUAGUCAUCAGCUAAUGUUGAUUAUGUCCCUGCCCUUUGUACACACCGCCCGUCGCUACUACUGAUUGGGUGUUCAAGUGAGAUGCUUAGACCCUUGUUGCAUGGUUCAUUAUUGUGCUCCGAAAGGAAAAAGUUUCAAGCUUGAGUGUCUAGAGGAAGUAAAAGUCGUAACA
rnacentral:rRNA from 1 species